CUCCUCAGAAGCCGAGCAGAUGCCAGCAUCAUGCUUCCUCUAAAGCCUGUGGAACCAUGAGCCAAGAUUUUUCAUGGGCCGAUCUGCUGAAUUCAGCCUAGGAGCUGAGACCAACAUCUGAGUCUCUUCAGCACACAAGUUUGAAAGAAGUCCUAGCAACUUCAAGCUCAGAACUACGGGUGGCAGCAGCUCCCUCUUGACGUCGAAGCCUCCCAUUCCAGAGAGAGUCAAGGCCUGGAUCAAACAAAGCCCACAAGCACCGAUGACUGAGCUGCUGACUACCCCCAGCAUCUCCAACUCAACCUCCUCUUUCUGCCUCUACCCAAAUUUUAAAACUUUCAAACAUGGGUUUAAAAAUGGUAAUGAGUAAAGUUGCAUCCAAGUGUAUCAAAUAAAACUAAAUAUCCAUAAA
rnacentral:lncRNA from 1 species